AACGCACGAGACCUGCGGACCUGCGGAAGGAUCAUUAAUGAGAAACUGCCCCUCGCGGGUAGAUCUCCCACCCUUUGUAAACUUACCUUUGUUGCUUUGGCAGGCCCGUCUCCGGACCGCCGGCUUCGGCUGGCCAGUGCCUGCCAGAGGAUUCUAAAACUCUGUCUGUCAGUGUUGUCUGAGUCUAUACACAAUCGUUAAAACUUUCAACAAUGGAUCUCUAGAUCGGAAGAGCACACG
rnacentral:misc_RNA from 1 species